UUUCCGUAGGUGAACCUGCGGAAGGAUCAUUAAUGAGUUGUCAUGGGGUUCGAUGCUGGCAGCCAAUUUUUGGAUGCAUGUGCUUGCCCUAACAAUCAUCUUCCAAACACCUGUGCACAUUUUUGAGGGAGUCUUGAGUUGGGUGCCGCUCUUGGGUGAUUUUCUCACAUUCCCUUAAAUCAUUAUACGCUAUUAACAAUGUUGAACGUGCUCUGUGCCGCAAGGCUAUUAAUAUAAUACAACUUUUAACAACGGAUCUCUUGGCUCUC
rnacentral:misc_RNA from 1 species